rnacentral:rRNA from 1 species
GCUGGGUGGAUUAGUGGCGAACGGGUGAGUAACACGUGAGUAACCUGCCCUUGACUCUGGGAUAAGCACUGGAAACGGUUCUAAUACCGGAUAUUUCAGCUGGCCGCAUGGUCUGGUUGUGGAAAGAAUUUUGGUCAAGGAUGGACUCGCGGCCUAUCAGGUAGUUGGUGAGGUAAUGGCUCACCAAGCCUACGACGGGUAGCCGGCCUGAGAGGGUGACCGGCCACACUGGGACUGAGACACGGCCCAGACUCCUACGGGAGGCAGCAGUGGGGAAUAUUGCACAAUGGGCGAAAGCCUGAUGCAGCAACGCCGCGUGAGGGACGACGGCCUUCGGGUUGUAAACCUCUUUUAGUAGGGAAGAAGCGAAAGUGACGGUACCUGCAGAAAAAGCACCGGCUAACUACGUGCCAGCAGCCGCGGUAAUACGUAGGGUGCAAGCGUUGUCCGGAAUUAUUGGGCGUAAAGAGCUCGUAGGCGGUUUGUCGCGUCUGCUGUGAAAACUGGAGGCUCAACCUCCAGCCUGCAGUGGGUACGGGCAGACUAGAGUGCGGUA